GACGAACGCUGGCGGCGUGCUUAACACAUGCAAGUCGAACGGAAAGGCCUGGUUUUUUGGGGUGCUCCAGUGGCGAACGGGUGAGUAACAACUGAGUAACCUGCCCCUUACUUUGGGAUAACUUCAGGGAACUGGGGCUAAUACCGGAUAGUAAUUUCUGCUGCCUGGUGGGGGUUUGGAAGUUUCGGCGGUUGGUGAUGGUCUUGGGGCUUAUCAGCUUGUUUGUGGGGUAGUGGCUUACGAAGGCUUUGCCGGAUAGCCGGCCUGAGAGGGUGACCGGGGACAAUAGGACUGAGAGACGGAGCAGACGGCUACGGGAGGCAGCAGGGGGGAGUAUUGCACAAUGGGCGGAAGCCAGAUGCAGAAACGCCGCGUGCGGGAUGACGGCCUUCGGGUUGUAAACCGCUUUCGACUGUGACGAAGAGUGAGUGACGGUAAUGGGUAAAGAAGCACCGGCUAACUACGUG
rnacentral:rRNA from 1 species